rnacentral:rRNA from 1 species
CCCCAGCGCCACAAGUGGCAGCCACAAUUAUUGGGCCUAAAGCGUCCGUAGCCGGUCUCGUAAAUUCCUUGUGAAAUCAUCGUGCUCAACACGAUGGCGUGCAGGGGACACUGCGAGACUAGGGACCGGGAGGAGUCAGGGGUAUUCCAGGGGUAGCGGUAAAAUGUUAUAAUCCUUGGAGGACCACCUGUGGCGAAGGCGCCUGACUAGAACGGAUUCGACGGUGAGGGACGAAAGCUAGGGGA